CACCUUCAGGGAGGGGUGAAGCUCUAGUCCCUGCAAAGCCCUUGAACACAAGAAAUCAAAUCAAUCCUUCACUAAGUGAUACGGAAAGGCCCUGAGACAAGAAGAUUGAACUCUCUGAGACUCCCUUUCAGGACUACCACUUGCCAAUGCGGUACUUUGGUGCAAUUUGAAAGAGGUGCCCCAUCUAGGCACAUGCCUUGGAUGAAGAGCCCAAUGGAAGAAUUUCUCUGUAAACCAAUGCUGCUGGGAAGGAGAUUUCCAUCCCCGGGGAAACCUAAGUAAGGU